AUUAUCCCAGUGACACUAGGGGCUCAUUUUCAUGAACUAUAGAAUUACCUUUUUGUUAAAUAAAACAAACCCCAAACCAAUCAAAAAUCCCAGAAAAAAAACCUGUCAUGGUUUGACACUGGCACAAUGCCAGUGCCCCCAUGAAAAUGUGAUCCCUACCUUGAAUGCUGUGAAGUGGAAUCUAGAAUAGAGCAAAGCAGGCCCAAGCUUAAUAACAGGAAAAAAACUUUAUUAAACUACUACUAAAGAAAAGAGAAAACUAAAGAAGGGGGAAAAAAACCACACAAAGAUCAAAUGAAAACCUUGCAAAACAUUCCUCCCCCCACCACCCAACUCCAACAAACCACAGUGAGACACAAUCUGGACCCCAAUCAUGUUUCCACCCUCCAAGCAACCGAUACUCAGUCCAUCGAGGGAACAGAGUCUCUCCUGUGCCACAGACCCCCCAAGAAACACAGCUCCACAUCCUGUGUUUCCAUGUCACACAUGGCACAGCCCGGAGAAAAAGUUUGCCAUGGUGACCCUUCUCCUUUCCAUGCACAGUGCUCUCACCACCAAUGCAUGGAUGGUCACUGCCUUUAGGAUUUUUCCUUUCAAGGAUGCCCUGCCAAGAGGGGAGAAAACAACAGUUCAGUUUUUCAUUGUUUGGGACCACAGUCCCCCCCCAUUUUCCCCUGGGGCCGAGGGCUCAAGAACAGAGAUCUUAUUCUCUUCUCUUUCCUUUCCAGGGAAAGGGGGCGCCACCACAAACCCCCUAACCUUUUCUCUGUUCACUCCACUUUUGUCUUUUUCUCUCAUCCAGCAACUCCCGCACAACUGGGCACCUUGCAGCAGCUCCCCCCGCUCCUCCUUCCUUGCGGCUUUCUCUCUCCCUCUCGGGAGAGGAACUCUGGGGGGGGAAAUGGAGACAUCCCAGAUUUCUUCCACCCUUCCAUCUGCAGGGGCCAGCCCGGUUCCAGUCCUUCCACCACCCUUGGGGCUUUCGGCCUACCUUUCAGGCCAUGGGGCCUUCCCCUCCCCCACCCAGCUCGUGGCUGGGCAGGGAAGGUCUGCACUGCACGCUGACCGGAACCAAAGAGAGCGAGUUCCCCUGGGAAUUCUGCUUUCAACCCUCUGUGUUCUCAGAGGCGUGUCUACUUUCAAUUGGUCAAUAUCUAAAUUGACCUCUUCCUUCUGGGAAAAAUUAUCUUUCCGUGUCAAACCACGACAAAACCCUAAAAAACCAAACAGAACCA
rnacentral:lncRNA from 1 species